UACGAAGGGGGCUAGCGUUGAUCGGAAUUACUGGGCGUAAAGCGCCCGUAGGCGGCUUCUUAAGUCGGCGGUGAAAUCCUGGAGCUCAACUCCAGAACUGCCUUCGAUACUGGAAAGCUCGAGUCCGGGAGAGGUGAGUGGAACUGCGAGUGUAGAGGUGAAAUUCGUAGAUAUUCGCAAGAACACCAGUGGCGAAGGCGGCUCACUGGCCCGGUACUGACGCUGAGGUGCGAAAGCGUGGGGAGCAAACAGG
rnacentral:rRNA from 1 species